AGAUUUGAGAGAGAGGAGAGAGAGAGUGAAAGUGCCAGUGCAAGAGAAAGUCAAAAUAGGUGCCUGCAUGAAAGAAGAAAAGUGCCUAAUGGG